AGGAGGUGACAGAAGAGAGUGAGCACACAUGGUGGUUUCUUGCAUGCUUUUUUGAUUAGGGUUUCAUGCUUGAAGCUAUGUGUGCUUACUCUCUCUCUGUCACCCCU
rnacentral:pre_miRNA from 1 species